rnacentral:rRNA from 1 species
UACAGGGGGUGCAAACGUUGCUCGGAAUCAUUGGGCGUAAAGCGCACGUAGGCGGUUCGUUAUGUCGGAUGUGAAAGCCCUUGGCUUAACCGAGGAAGUGCAUCCGAAACUGGCGAGCUAGAGUACGAAAGAGGAUCGCGGAAUUCCCGGUGUAGAGGUGAAAUUCGUAGAUAUCGAGAGGAACACCGGUGGCGAAGGCGGCCAACUGGACGAAGACUGACGCUGAGACACGAAAGCGUGGGGAGCAAACAGG